rnacentral:lncRNA from 1 species
GGUGAGCCUUUGGCAUGUGUGCCACAGCUGUUUGUUAUCAUUGAAAGCACUAACAGGCUCAGCAACACUGGCCUAGUGGAAGAACUUAGUUUAGUUUUUUGCAUACCAAAUACAUUAAUGUGCAUACACACUUAAGAAUAUAAAUACAAAAUAUUCUCAGGGACUCUAUUCAACCAGCAAAAGCAAGUAUUUAUAUGUUAUACUUAUAUGUACUUUCUUCACAAAGAAACCAAGUACCUUGGAUGUGGUCAUAUAUAUUAGGAGAAAAGGCAGAAGCUAGUAGAGAUUGAGAACUGCGUUUAUACGAUUGAGGACAGUCUCAGGAAUCAGGAAGCAAUGUUUAUUAUACUUUGCCAUUUAAAGUACAGAAUAGCCUUAAAGAUUAAAAUGAAUGUUUUAGCAAAUAGGAUUGGUGUUUGUCUCGCUUUGAAUUUGUAGGGAACCAGAGACUGGUAUGAAUAUUUAGUGUAUUAUAGGUGUUGGGUUUUGCAGCAUUUGGUUUAUAUGAAUUAAUUAGAAGAUUGUGAUGAUUGUGAACAUACCAAACUACAAAUGAUUUUAACAUAAAAAUUCGAUUAAAUCUAUCCGUUUCCAAAAAUUCAUGAUUUUUUCUUCUUCUCCCCAGAGCAUCUGUCACAUCCAAGCCUGAGCCAAUUUCUCUUCAAAAGGGAGAACCUAAAGAAGUAGUUAAACCUGUGCCCAUUAUAUCUCCUGCUGUAUCCAGAGUCACUUCCACCCCCCAACAUGGCCUACAAUAAAGCACCAUGGCCCUUUGGUUCUGUGUCUUCACCAAAAGUCACCUCCAUCCCAUCACCAUCGUCCGCCUUCACCCCAGCCCACGCGACCACUUCAUCACAUUCUUCCCCUCCACCUGUGGCUGCUGUCACUCCUCCCCCAUCCUCUGCGUCUGGACUGCAUGUUAAUGCCAGUCUUAGUGCUGACCGGUGUUCAUCUGUGCUGAGCGCUGGUAAAGCUGCGGUUAAUGUCCCACGGCAGCCCACAGUCACCAGCGUGUGUUCCGAAACUGCUCAGGAGCUAGCAGAGGAACAGAGAAGAGGAUCCCAGGGUGACAGUAAACAGCAAAAUGGCUGCACAGCUGGAGAGUAA